UUUUUGAUUAUUUUUAGUCACUAUCAGUGGAAGAAAAUGUGUACAUGAAAACAGUAAAAGAAGAAAAAUGAAACCACCAUAAAAAUUAAAUGGGGAAACGAUGGGUGACCAUAAUGAGGAAGUAGAAGACGGAGAAGGAGGAAGGUGGCGAAAGAGAAAGAAGAAGGGAAGAAAAGAGAGAAGGAGGAGAAAGAUGACGAGAAGAAGAAAAAAGAAGACGAAGAAGGAAAGUAAAAAAGAAAAAGAAAAAAAAAGAGGAGGACAAAAGGAUGAAGAAGAAGAAAAUUGUUGAGAAUGAGAAAGAGUAAGAAGAGAAAAAAAAGAAUGAAAAUGAGAAUGUGUUUGAUUCUAUUUAUAUUUGAUGUUAGGAGUUUUCAGGCCCCUAAGACAAAUGUUGUAGUAUGAGUGAAUGUCGAAC
rnacentral:lncRNA from 1 species